CUGAAGGUGGGGAUCCUUCGGGACCUGCCGCUCGAGGAGGAGCCCGCGUACCAUCAGCUUGUUGGUGAGGUAACGGCUCACCAAGGCUUACGGUUAGCUGGUCUGAGAGGAUGGUCAGCCACACUGGGACUGAGACACUGCCCAGACUCCUACGGGAGGCUGCAGUCGAGGAUCAUUGUCAAUGCGCGAAAGCGUGAACAUGCGACGCUGCGUGGAGGAUGACGGCCUUCGGGUUGUAAACUCCUGUCAUCCGGGAAAAACGGGCGGUUCGCGAAUAGCGGGCCGUCGUGAUGGUACCGGAAGAGGAAGCCACGGCUAACUCUGUGCCAGCAGCCGCGGUAAUACAGAGGUGGCGAGCGUUGUUCGGAUUUACUGGGCGUAAAGCGUGCGUAGGUGGUUCCGUGUGUCGGAUGUGAAAGCCCACUGCCCAACGGUGGAAAUGCUUUCGAAACUGCGGAGCUGGAGUGCAGGAGGGGAGAGCGGAAUUCUUGGUGUAGCGGUGAAAUGCGUUGAUAUCAAGAAGAACACCGGUGGCGAAGGCGGCUCUCUGGAAUGUUACUGACACUGAGGCACGAAAGCUGGGGGAGCAAACAGGAUUAGAUACCCUGGUAGUCCCAGCCGUAAACGGUGUGGACUUGGUGUUGGCGGUAUUGACCCCGCCAGUGCCGGAGCUAACGCGUUAAGUCCACCGCCUGGGGAGUACGGCCGCAAGGCUAAAACUCAAAGAAAUUGACGGGGGCCCGCACAAGCGGAGGAGCAUGUGGCUUAAUUCGAUGCAACGCGAAGAACCUUACCAGGGCUUGACAUGGAGACCCUUCGGGGGUGCCGGCGAAAGUCGCUUUACUCACACAGGUGCUGCAUGGCUGUCGUCAGUUCGUGCCGUGAGGUGUUGGGUUAAGUCCGCAACGAACGCAACCCUUGUGUCUAGUUGCCACCGCAGGUGAUGAGCCUGCGAGCACUCUAGACAGACUGCCCGUACAAGCGGGAGGAAGGUGGGGACGACGUCAAGUCAGUAUGGCCCUUACGUCCUGGGCUGCACACGUGCUACAAUGGUCGGUACAGAGGGAAGCAAUGCCGCAAGGUGGAGCAAAUCCCCAAAGCUGGCCUCAGUUCGGAUUGGAGUCUGCAACUCGACUCCAUGAAGUUGGAUUCGCUAGUAACGGCGCAUCAGCUACGGCGCCGUGGAUACGUUCCCGGGCCUUGUACACACCGCCCGUC
rnacentral:rRNA from 1 species